AAUUUAUCUCUCUUCCUUUUUUGACUAUUUUUGGCGGCGUUGAUUAUGAAACUUUAGGCUUAUAUACACAGCGCAGAGUACGACUAUUCCUGAGCUAGUCGGUCAACUAUGGGACUGUUUCCUCUUGACAUUCUUGUUAAGGCUACUCACUGAGGUUUUUUUUUUAUAUCACUCGUUUGUAGAACGCCAGUAACACAGGACCGUUUUUUUUACUCACUAUGAAAUCCAAAAAUAUUUUAAUUAAAUCGACCAAGAGGAGCCACCACGGCACCUCCUCGAAGGCUCACCGUUUACUUUUCCAUCGAACACCUUAUUUUUCAUGGUAGUAGCAAACAUUGUCAACACACGUUAGAUUCAGGACGUUGUCAACUUUUUUUGCAGUAAACUGUCAAGGCAAUCCAAUCCAGAGAGACGGGUAACAACAUUUUUAUGAUACCACCAGUCCGUCAUAUCCGCGUAGACUUUGGGUUUCUGUUGAGGAUCGUUACAUGUCUCGCAAAGUUCACACCACCAGCCUGUUCACCACUUUGAAAUCUUUUUUUUUUUUUUUUUUUUUCAGUAGAAAUAUUUGAAAUAGAGGCCUUCGUUCACAUCCAGCAGCAGUAUUGAGUAUUGCAGGCUUUUGGCGAUUUGAAAUCUCCCUCGUCAAUGUAAGAAGAGGGCGAGUAAUCGGUACCUCCGUAGACGAUGGGCACAAUGUCGGCGGCCAUGGCAGUAGAAUUUUCCAUGCAAAUAUGAAAUGUUCCCAUGGUAGAAUUUCCCCUAAAUUAUUUCAAAGAUCUUCCAUAAAUAAUUAUAUAAUUAGAAUUUAACAAAAUACAAUAGAAAUACUGUGAAGUAUAAUCGGGAUAAAGGGCAUUCUCGGCCGCCACGUAGAACUUGUAGAGUUGUAGCUAAAAGAGUAAUCAAAACAAAGCUCAUAAUAAAAUAGAGGUUCAGGGCAACUUGUCUCUCAUUGGUUGUCGUUCCAUCGUCUUUUAAUUCACUAGCAUAGGGACAAUUAAAUUAAAUUAUUUAUGUCGAUAUCUACGCAAACCCGAAAACGCAUCUUGAUAUCCAAAUUUCCCCCUAAACCUUCUCGCUCUACUACAUGUUUUAAACGCGAUCCUCGUAGCUUGUUCCAAGAAAAUCGCCGACGAAGUUGCAUCAUAAUCAAUAAAUCAAUUAAAUCAUGGCCAUUUUUUUCACGACGUGUAUUAAAAUUUUACUAGGAUCGAUUUACACCAGAUUCAAUGUCUGGUGAUCAUCCACUGAAAUUAAAACCAUUUUCUUUGUCAAUAACAUCUAGGGGAGAGUGGGUGAAUGGGAUAAGGUGUCGAUUAGGAAGAGGAGGAAGAGAGGUACACCUUGAGACCAGGGGUUCAAACCCCCUGGAGAGCAUUGUUGGUUGCUCAUAUACCCGCUCUGGCGCCACUGUGGCGUCACAUGCAGGAUUAUCUAACCCCGUGCUGGAGAGGGAACUCUGCGCUUAUGGACGUGCAAUUCUGUCUGAUGGCAAAAUUGUGCGAAUAGGAAGGAUGUUGUUAAAUCUCUUCAUUCGAAACAUGUAAUAAGCAUUGUACAUCAAUCCGACAUCAUUGAAAGGCUGGUCUUUGACGCUGCCAAGACUUGGGAAUUGACGACUCGAUGAGAAUCAAUCAAAGAUAAAACUUAUUGAAAUUUAUUAGCCAACUGAUUUUGGGAAUCGACAACUCGGAACCGAACACAAGGCGAAACUUCCGUCUAGCAAAUCUCGGGGCGACGGACUCGCAUCGCACGUCGAGGAAAAAUUCUCUUCAUUCGCUGUUCUAGAUGAUUUGGAGUGGUCCUUAAUCAUUCGUACCUUAUUGAUGGCGCCUUUUCACAAAAUCAAUUCAGUCCAAGCAAAGCAUCUGCCGUUUGGAUUAGAAUUUCCUUUCGUUUUUCUGAAACACGUGGCCUGAAUUAAACAAAACCAGCAGAGCAACAAGAUUCGUCAUCCGUGUCUAACUACAGCUGUGGCUAAUAUCCAUCGAUGAAGAACUCUCCUUUGAAGAAAUAAUGCGGAUUGACAUCGCUGGGCCCACUGGUGUUUUGGCAACUCCAUCAGAGUCAUGACGUCAUUACACGCUGGUCGUUUCUCAACGGGCCCCUGCAAGAUAACGGUACAAAAACAGUUUACAGCCAUACUACCUGUGCGAUGAGAUUUACAUCACAAUUGGAACCUACUUGUGGGGAAAUCUGCAGGAAUUGCAACGAGUUUAUUCAGCCAGAAUAAAUUUGCGGCCCAGGAAACAUUGCACCAUAUCAUCCAAUCGUUCUUAUCGAGCUGGUUUUUAUGGGGACGGUGGUGUGAAUUGUGCAAGGUUAACGGUUCAUCAACAAGAAGAAAGCGGAUGAUGUGAAAAUUAAAAUUCAUUUCUGUAGUUGCGAUUUUUUCGUGUCAUUUUACGCAAAGCUAGACAGCCAGAUAUUAUUUUACUAAAGUUUAUAAUAAUCACUGAAAUUUCUGUUCCAUAAUCUUUUAGUUUCGCGCGGUUUGGAAACUAAAAAAAAACGUUUGUUUUGAAUUUUUUAUCAUUUCAUGCCAUCUAGGUUUGAUUCAUUAAACCUUGUGUUGGCUUACCAGCGGCCAUUUUCUUUCAACAGUUUUUCACGUUGACACAUCAACACAGUGCACGGUACACACCAAGCUUUCACGUAAAAUGAAGAAGUAAAAAUUCCUUUCCAGCUCCAGUCUUCACAAAAACGAUUUGAUUCACUUUCUUCUCCUGGACAUGCGGAGGACCUAAAUGGACAAUUUCAGCUUCAAUCUUUGAUAACGACAGAUAUCCGACGGCGUCAUUUGUUGCAGUCAAACGUUGCGACAUUUCUGGGGGUAAAUGGCCGAAGAAUUAUCAUUAUUAUCCGUUCAGCGUAAUAAUAAUUUUAAUUUGAAAUGAACGUACCAGUCAAUUCCUUCUUCGAACUGACAAUGAUGAUGUUCGUUUCGAGAAAGUGUUGAAG
rnacentral:lncRNA from 1 species